rfam:Bacillus alcalophilus ATCC 27647 = CGMCC 1.3604 strain AV1934 contig00010, whole genome shotgun sequence.
UUAAACCACUAGGGGUGCAUAGUUGCUGAGAGAGGCCUAAUUUGGUGCCUUAACCCUUUUACCUGAUCUAGAUAAUACUAGCGGAGGGAAGUGGAUCGAAGGACCU